rnacentral:tRNA from 1 species
GCCAGAGUGAUGUAGUGGUUUGAAUGUUGGACGAUGACUCUGGAGACCAGGGUUCGAAUCCCUGCUCAGCCA